CCCAUGGAGCUUUACUGUAGCCUAAUAUUGGGUUUCGAUGUUGCAUGCACAGGAUAGAUGGGACACAGGGAAACAAUCGCUUUGGCGGUUGCGGAGUGGCCGUUGGGAUACCAUCCUUGCGAUAUUGGAAUUCUAACCUGCGGCUCUGAAUCGAGUCGGGGGACAUUGUUAGGUGGGCAGUUUGACUGGGGCGGUCGCCUCCUAAAAAGUAACGGAGGCGUUCAAAGGUUCGCUCAGCUUGAACGGAAAUCAAGCAAAAGAGUGCAAACGCAGAAGCGAGCCUAACUGCGAGACUGACGGGUCGAGCAGUAACGAAAGUUGGAGUUAGUGAUCCGGUGGUAUGUGAGUGGAAAUGCCAUCGCUCAACGGAUAAAAGUUACCCUGGGGAUAACAGGCUGAUCUCCCCCAAGAGUCCACAUCGACGGGGAGGUUUGGCACCUCGAUGUCGGCUCAUCGCAUCCUGGGGCUGUAUUCGGUCCCAAGGGUUUGGCUGUUCGCCAAUUAAAGCGGUACGCGAGCUGGGUUCAGAACGUCGUGAGACAGUUCGGUCCCUAUCUGUCGUGGGCGCAGGAUAUUUGAUGGGAGCUGUCCCUAGUACGAGAGGACCGGGACGGACGUACCUCUGGCGCACCAGUUGUUCCGCCAGGAGCAUAGCUGGGCAACUACGUACGGAUCGGAUAAACGCUGAAAGCAUCUAAGCGUGAAGCCGACCCAAAGAUAAGAUGUCCCAUUGUUUUAAACAAGUAAGACCCCUUGAAGACUACAAGGUUGAUAGGCACGAUGUGUAAGUGGAGCGAUCCAUUCAGCAAGCGUGUACUAAUAGGUCGAGGGCUUGACCAC
rnacentral:rRNA from 1 species